rnacentral:rRNA from 1 species
GUGAGGAAUAUUGCGCAAUGGAGGCAACUCUGACGCAGCCAUGCCGCGUGCAGGAAGAAGGCGCUACGCGUUGUAAACUGCUUUUAACCGGGAAGAAACCCCAGGACGUGUCCUGGGUUGACGGUACCGGAGGAAUAAGCACCGGCUAACUUCGUGCCAGCAGCCGCGGUAAUACGAAGGGUGCAAGCGUUAUCCGGAUUCAUUGGGUUUAAAGGGUGCGUAGGCGGAGCGUUAAGUCAGUGGUGAAAUCCUGCAGCUUAACUGUAGACUUGCCAUUGAUACUGGCGCUCUUGAGUGCGCUUGAAGUGGGCGGAAUGUGCCGUGUAGCGGUGAAAUGCUUAGAUAUGGCACAGAACACCAAUUGCGAAGGCAGCUCACUAAGGCGAUACUGACGCUGAGGCACGAAAGCAUGGGGAGCAAACAGGAUUAGAAACCCCAGUAGUCC